rnacentral:rRNA from 1 species
GAUGAACGCUGGCGGCGUGCUUAACACAUGCAAGUCGAACGGAAAGGCUCCUGCUUGCAGGGGUACUCGAGUGGCGAACGGGUGAGUAACACGUGGGUGAUCUGCCCUGCACUUCGGGAUAAGCCUGGGAAACUGGGUCUAAUACCGGAUAGGACGAUGGUUUGGAUGCCAUUGUGGAAAGUUUUUUCGGUGUGGGAUGAGCUCGCGGCCUAUCAGCUUGUUGGUGGGGUAAUGGCCUACCAAGGCGUCGACGGGUAGCCGGCCUGAGAGGGUGUACGGCCACAUUGGGACUGAGAUACGGCCCAGACUCCUACGGGAGGCAGCAGUGGGGAAUAUUGCACAAUGGGCGCAAGCCUGAUGCAGCGACGCCGCGUGGGGGAUGACGGCCUUCGGGUUGUAAACUCCUUUCGCUAGGGACGAAGCGCAAGUGACUGUACCUGGAGAAGAAGCACCGGCUAACUACGUG